rnacentral:rRNA from 1 species
GCUAUCGAGGUUCGACUAAGCCAUGCGAGUCGAAUGUAGCAAUACAUGGCGAACUGCUCAGUAACACGUGGACAACCUGCCCUUAGGACGGGGAUAAACCCGGGAAACUGGGUAUAAUACCCCAUAGAUCUCGAAAGCUGGAAUGCUUCAAGAUCCAAAACUCCGGUGCCCAAGGAUUGGUCUGCGGCGUAUCAGGUUGUAGUGGGUGUAACGGACCCCCUAGCCUAUGACGCGUAAGGGCCUUGAGAGAGGGAGCCCUGAGAUGGACUCUGAGACAUGAGUCCAGGCCCUACGGGGCGCAGCAGUCGCGAAAACUUCACAAUGGGGGAAACCCCGAUGAGGGAAUUCCAAGUGCCAGCACAUUGUGUUGGCUGUUCUCUGGUCUAAAAAACCGGAGAAGUAAGGGCCGGGUAAGACGGGUGCCAGCCGCCGCGGUAAUACCCGCGGCCCAAGUGGUGGUCGAUAUUAUUGAGCCUAAAACGUCCGUAGCCGGUCUUGUAAAUCCUUGGGUAAAUCGACCAGCUUAACUGUUCGAAGUCCGGGGAGACUGCAAGACUUGGGAUCGGGAGAGGUGAGAGGUACUUCUGGGGUAGGGGUAAAAUCCUGUAAUCCUAGAAGGACCACCGGUGGCGAAGGCGUCUCACUAGAACGAAUCCGACGGUGAGGGACGAAGCCCUGGGGCGCAAACGGGAUU